CAAACAAGCCCUCCCCAACGCCAUGAAUGCGGCUGAAAUUACCGACAAACUUGGCCUCCACUCUCUUCGUCAGCGACACUGGUAUAUCCAGAGCACAUGUGCCACUUCUGGAGAAGGGCUGUAUGAAGGACUUGACUGGCUCUCUAACAACAUAGCUAAUAAGUCUUAAAAACAAUAUGCUGCUGCUGCUGCUGCUGCUGAGAAAUAGGAAGAAGUUUGUUCUGACGAUUAUUGUGUUGGAUAUUAUAAGACAUUGUGGCUUAAGACUAUGAUAUUGUGAUUGUUAUGCUAACCAGACCUGUGUAUUUUUGUUGGUAAUAUUGCGGAAUUUGGUGUUUGAUAGCAUUGUUGUGUUGUCUAUUUAAUACAAUGAUUUGGCUGGAUUAUUUAGAAA